rnacentral:misc_RNA from 1 species
AUUUUUGGUUUCACCAUCAAAAUCAAAUCAAAUAUUAAACGACUGUGGCUGCUUCAUAUUUAUAAAUUUCAUACCACAUGGUGAUGCUGUCUUAAAACAACCUUGAAGUAUGGAUAGCUUGAGAUGAAGUCGCUGUCAGCAGCUUGAUGAGCUCCACAAGUUUUUGAACAUUUAGGCCUUCUUGCCUGCCUACUAAUACCUUUCUCAUCCUUGAACCGCUUUCUCUUUCCUUUGGAAUGGUUGCCACAAAAAAUGUCAUCUUGAUCAUCAACUUCUUGCUUAUUGGGCUGUGGAGAUUCUCCAUUAAAAUUUGGCGUCCCUGAAUGGAGUCCACUGCUUGAAUACUCA